AAAGAUGAUCAAUUUGUCGUAUUACAUACGCUGGAAAUUACCGUCCAAGUACUUCGUGCGGUGCAGACACAAAAUGGCUGUUUCUGAGC
rfam:Tuber melanosporum whole genome shotgun sequence assembly, scaffold_209, strain Mel28